rnacentral:rRNA from 1 species
AUUGAACGCUGGCGGCAGGCCUAACACAUGCAAGUCGAACGAGUGGCGGACGGGUGAGUAAUGUCUGGGAAACUGCCUGAUGGAGGGGGAUAACUACUGGAAACGGUAGCUAAUACCGCAUACCAUCGGAUGUGCCCAGAUGGGCUUAGCUAGUAGGUGGGGUAAAGGCUUACCUAGGCGACGAUCCCUAGCUGGUCUGAGAGGAUGACCAGCCAAACUGGAACUGAGACACGGUCCAGACUCCGAAGGGAGUCAGCAGUAGGGAAUAUUGCACAAUGGGCGCAAGCCUGAUGCAGCCAUGCCGCGUGUAUGAAGAAGGCCUUCGGGUUGUAAAGUACUGACAGCGGGGAGGCGUUACCCGCAGGAGAAGCACCGGCUAACUCCGUGCCAGCAGCCGCGGUAAGUC